CGUGGACACCUAAAUCAAAUGUGGGUUUUUGCAGAAGUCCAAAUUAUAGUAGUCCGGUCGAACGAUAUUCUCCUCGUUGUACGCCACCUUUUCAUCAAAAUUCCUCCAAGCCAUUCAAUCGUUCUUCUAAUACUCGCGAGCAAAUAAGUAGCGGAUCUAAUUUAUCCUUCAGUCCUGACAGCAACAGUUCCAGUUAUUUCGGAGAUGUUUCGCGAGGCAGUCCUUAUAGUUUGCAAUACAAGAAUCGAAGGUUUCAGACAAAACGUCCCCUAGAAUGUUACCUCAUGGUGCCAAGGGUGUGAGCACUCCUGGUUGGGAACCCUUGCAGUCAGAGACGGAUUUACAUAUAAGCUACACAAGCUAUAGCUUAGGGGCCCCCCAAAAAAUUAAAUG